rnacentral:lncRNA from 1 species
GAAAAUGUGAUGAUCUUUAGUGAGACAGGAAGUUAGCAUAUCACACAUGCCCAAUGACCAUUACACAGAGCUGUCUAGAAUUCCCAUGCAUGCAGGUGUUCAUACCAAAUUAUGGGAUUAAUUGCCUUGGAUUUCUUUGUUGAGAUAUGUAGAAUUACAAAGAUGAUAUCACUGUUAGCGUUUGCAAUGCAUAUAGAGUUGAUAAACUGUCUGAGAUGAUGAUAAUGGAAGUUCUGACUGUGAUGAUUAAGUGUAAUUCUGCUCAUAGUCCAGUUUCUUCUGCUUUAAACACCAAACAAUGAUGGAUAGGAAAAUGUUGCUAAAAGCUUUUAAGAAGAGAUUAUAAUCCCACUGAGUUAUGCUCAAAAAUUUUUGAUCCAUUGACUUCCAUCAACAGGGAUGUGGGCCAAUGAUGAUGACAGUCAGCCAGGAACAAACUUUUAUACAUUAGAAGGUAAGUCCAGAUAUUGGAAAAUCAGCACAUUGCCCCAAAUUUGGCUAUUGAUCAGAUUCCAUUCUGACUUUGAGGAAUAUAUAGUCAAAGAGAUAAAUGUCCUCAUCUCUUGGACAAAUGGCAGCAUUCAAGCAGUGCUUCAUAUAUUGGCCAAUGGUAGAAGUGAAGGUACUGUUGGUGGUGAAAUUUAACUUUAAGUGCAGAUCAGCAGUCUCAAGUUAAAUGGCAGAGGUAUAGAUGGAUAGCAUAUUAAUGGAAAUUGAUGUCAGGAAGAAGCAUCCCUGCCUCUGCCAAAACUGCUAACAAUGGUGUGCUUGAAAGUCCUAAUACUACUCAGAGUGCAGCUUGGUACACUGAAU